GCUAGGUGUGGUGGCAUACGCCUGUAAUCCCAGCAGCUCAGGAGGCUGAGGCAGGAGAAUCUCAUGUUCAAGCCCAGCCUCAGCAAAAGCAAGAUGCUAAGCAACUCAGUGAGACCCUGUCUCUA
rnacentral:sRNA from 1 species